UACGGAGGGUGCAAGCGUUAAUCGGAAUUACUGGGCGUAAAGCGCACGUAGGUGGUUCGUUAAGCUAGCUGUGAAAUCCCCGGGCUCAACCUGGGAAUUGCGGUUAGAACUGGCGAGCUAGAGUAGGGUAGAGGGGUGUGGAAUUCCAGGUGUAGCGGUGAAAUGCGUAGAUAUCUGGAGGAACAUCAGUGGCGAAGGCGACACCCUGGACUCAUACUGACACUGAGGUGCGAAAGCGUGGGGAGCAAACAGG
rnacentral:rRNA from 1 species